rnacentral:rRNA from 1 species
AUUGAACGCUGGCGGCAGGCCUAACACAUGCAAGUCGAGCGAGAGGCGGACGGGUGAGUAAUGUGUGGGAAACUGCCUGAGGGAGGGGGAGAACAACUGGAAAAGGUAGCUAAUACCGCAUACCAUAAGAUGUGCCCAGAUGGGAUUAGCUAGUAGGUGGGGUAACGGCUCACCUAGGCGACGAUCCCUAGCUGGUCUGAGAGGAUGACCAGCCACACUGGAACUGAGACACGGUCCAGACUCCUACGGGAGGCAGCAGUGGGGAAUAUUGCGCAAUGGGGGCAACCCUGACGCAGCCAUGCCGCGUGAAUGAAGAAGGCCUUCGGGUUGUAAAGUUCUUUCGGUAGCGAGGCGUUAACUACAGAAGAAGCACCGGCUAACUCCGUGCCAGCAGCCGCGGUAAUAC